rnacentral:lncRNA from 1 species
GUUAAAGGGUGGGGUUUAAGAUUUAGGGUUUAGGGUUUAGGGUUUAGGGUUUAGUGUUUAGGGUUUAGGGUUUAGAUUUUAGGGUUUAGGGUUUAGAGUUUAGGGUUUAGGGUUUAGGGUUUAGAGUUUAUGGUUUAGGGUUUAGAGUUUAGGGUUUAGAGUUGAGAAAUGAGGUUUUGGGAUAAGAUUUCAAAUUUUGAAAAAUAAAAAAAUUAAAAUUUUCAAAGGAUAAACUUAGAAAGGUGCUAUUUUGGUCAUUUUAGUUUUUGAGUGCUAUUUUUGUAAUAUAAACUUAGAAAGGUGCUAUUUUGAAGAUUUACCCUUUCAAGAUUAUAAAAGCUAUAUAAAAAUAAAC